ACACCGGCAGCUCAAGUGGUAGCCGCUUUUAUUGGGCCUAAAGCGUCCGUAGCCGGUCUGAUAAGUCUCUGGUGAAAUCCCGCAGCUUAACUGUGGGAAUUGCUGGAGAUACUAUCAUGACUCGAGGUCGGGAGAGGCUGGAGGUACUCCCAGGGUAGGGGGGAAAUCCUGUAAUCCUGGGAGGACCACCUGUGGCGAAGGCGUCCAGCUGGAACGAACCUGACGGUGAGGGACGAAAGCCAGGGGCGCGAACCGGAUUAGAUACCCGGGUAGUCCUGGCCGUAAACGAUGUGGACUUGGUGUUGGGAUGGCUUCGAGCUGCCCCAGUGCCGAAGGGAAGCUGUUAAGUCCACCGCCUGGGAAGUACGGCCGCAAGGCUGAAACUUAAAGGAAUUGACGGGG
rnacentral:rRNA from 1 species